CAGACCUUAGGCAUUUCGGGGAUCCCUGUCAUGGGAUACCACUGCAUACUUGUGACAGAUUGAUAACUGAAAGGUUUAGGGCCUCUUGGUCUCC
rnacentral:pre_miRNA from 1 species